UCAACUGGGUUUGAAGUGAAUGGUAGAAAGUAGGAUGUGGAAGAAAGUUUUUGCACAAAAGAAGGGAACUAUAUUGCAAGAAGAUACUGAUGAAUGGUUUGCUCUUUUUCCUGGACAGGAGAGAAGAAAUGGACACCUGCAAUUCAAGGCAGCCAACCUGGCAGAGAAAUCAGUGGACACGUAAACCAGAAAGGCAAGAUGAGCAGUGCCUUUCCCAGCCUUAUGUUUUCCCUCCCCCACUGGGGCCUUGGGAGGUUGCUGCUGCAUUGGUGGAGAACGACUGAGAUGUGCAUUCACAGCAGCAAAAGUCAGCUUUGAAAAAUUUCCCAGGGGAGAAGUUUCAGCCCUGAGAGCAGC